UGCAGUCGAGCGGCAGCACGGGUACUUGUACCUGGUGGCGAGCGGCGGACGGGUGAGUAAUGCCUAGGAAUCUGCCUGGUAGUGGGGGAUAACGCUCGGAAACGGACGCUAAUACCGCAUACGUCCUACGGGAGAAAGCAGGGGACCUUCGGGCCUUGCGCUAUCAGAUGAGCCUAGGUCGGAUUAGCUAGUUGGUGAGGUAAUGGCUCACCAAGGCGACGAUCCGUAACUGGUCUGAGAGGAUGAUCAGUCACACUGGAACUGAGACACGGUCCAGACUCCUACGGGAGGCAGCAGUGGGGAAUAUUGGACAAUGGGCGAAAGCCUGAUCCAGCCAUGCCGCGUGUGUGAAGAAGGUCUUCGGAUUGUAAAGCACUUUAAGUUGGGAGGAAGGGCAGUUACCUAAUACGUAUCUGUUUUGACGUUACCGACAGAAUAAGCACCGGCUAACUCUGUGCCAGCAGCCGCGGUAAUACAGAGGGUGCAAGCGUUAAUCGGAAUUACUGGGCGUAAAGCGCGCGUAGGUGGUUUGUUAAGUUGGAUGUGAAAUCCCCGGGCUCAACCUGGGAACUGCAUUCAAAACUGACAAGCUAGAGUA
rnacentral:rRNA from 1 species